rnacentral:rRNA from 1 species
UAUCCGUCGCGGGCGCAGGAAAUUUGAGAGGAGCUGUCCUUAGUACGAGAGGACCGGGAUGGACGCACCGCUGGUGUACCAGUUGUUCUGCCAAGGGCAUCGCUGGGUAGCUAUGUGCGGACGGGAUAAGUGCUGAAAGCAUCUAAGCAUGAAGCCCCCCUCAAGAUGAGAUUUCCCAUUCCGCAAGGAAGUAAGAUCCCUGAAAGAUGAUCAGGUUGAUAGGUCUGAGGUGGAAGUGUGGCGACACAUGGAGCUGACAGAUACUAAUCGAUCGAGGACUUAACCAAUUU